UUGCAGCAAUAUCACAGUGAAAGGCCGGUUCCCAUCCGAUUACCGAAAUUAAGCAAUAUUGAGCCUUGUCAGUACCAAGAUGGGUGACCGGAUGGAAUACCAGAUGCUGGAAG